GAGUUUGAUCGUGGCUCAGAUUGAACGCUGGCGGCAUGCCUUACACAUGCAAGUCGAACGGCAGCAUGAUCUAGCUUGCUAGAUUGAUGGCGAGUGGCGAACGGGUGAGUAAUACAUCGGAACGUGCCCUGUAGUGGGGAUAACUAGUCGAAAGAUUAGCUAAUACCGCAUACGACCUGAGGGUGAAAGUGGGGGACCGCAAGGCCUCAUGCUAUAGGAGCGGCCGAUGUCUGAUUAGCUAGUUGGUGGGGUAAAGGCCCGACCAAGGCGACGAUCAGUAGCUGGUCUGAGAGGACGAUCAGCCACACUGGGACUGAGACACGGCCCAGGACUCCUACGGGAGGCAGCAGUGGGGAAUUUGGACAAUGGGCGAAAGCCUGAUCCAGCAAUGCCGCGUGUGUGAAGAAGGCCUCGGUGUAAG
rnacentral:rRNA from 1 species